AUACGUAGGGUGCAAGUGUUAAUCGGAAUUACUGGGCGUAAAGCGUGCGCAGGCGGUUUUGUAAGACAGUGGUGAAAUCCCCGGGCUCAACCUGGGAACUGCCAUUGUGACUGCAAGGCUGGAGUGCGGCAGAGGGGGAUGGAAUUCCGCGUGUAGCAGUGAAAUGCGUAGAUAUGCGGAGGAACACCGAUGGCGAAGGCAAUCCCCUGGGCCUGCACUGACGCUCAUGCACGAAAGCGUGGGGAGCAAACAGGAUUAGAUACCCUGGUAGUCCACGCCCUAAACGAUGUCAACUGGUUGUUGGGGAUUUAUUUUCUCAGUAACGAAGCUAACGCGUGAAGUUGACCGCCUGGGGAGUACGGCCGCAAGGUUAAAACUCAAAUGAAUUGACGGGG
rnacentral:rRNA from 1 species